rnacentral:rRNA from 1 species
AUACGGAGGGGGCUAGCGUUGUUCGGAAUUACUGGGCGUAAAGCGCGCGUAGGCGGACCAGUCAGUCAGGGGUGAAAUCCCGGGGCUCAACCCCGGAACUGCCUUUGAUACUGCUGGUCUUGAGUUCGAGAGAGGUGAGUGGAAUUCCGAGUGUAGAGGUGAAAUUCGUAGAUAUUCGGAGGAACACCAGUGGCGAAGGCGGCUCACUGGCUCGAUACUGACGCUGAGGUGCGAAAGCGUGGGGAGCAAACAGGAUUAGAAACCCUAGUAGUCC